rnacentral:rRNA from 1 species
ACGGGAGGCAGCAGUGGGGAAUAUUGCACAAUGGGGGAAACCCUGAUGCAGCGACGCCGCGUGAGUGAAGAAGUUAUUCGUAAUGUAAAGCUCUAUCAGCAGGGAAGAUGAUGACGGUACCUGACUAAGAAGCACCGGCUAAAUACGUGCCAGCAGCCGCGGUAAUACGUAUGGUGCAAGCGUUAUCCGGAUUUACUGGGUGUAAAGGGAGCGCAGACGGCUUUGCAAGUCUGAAGUGAAAUCCACGGGCUCAACCCGUGAACUGCUUUGGAAACUGUAGAGCUAGAGUGCAGGAGAGGUAAGUGGAAUUCCUAGUGUAGCGGUGAAAUGCGUAGAUAUUAGGAGGAACACCAGUGGCGAAGGCGGCUUACUGGACUGUAACUGACGUUGAGGCUCGAAAGCGUGGGGAGCAAACAGGAUUAGAUACCCUGGUA